rnacentral:rRNA from 1 species
AUACGCAUCCUUUGCUGAGGAGACGGUUAACGGAGCGAAAGCGACGUUCAACCUCAAAAGAAGCAGAGGGGGCUUAGUGGUGGGGUGACUGCGUACCUUUUGUAUAAUGGGUCAGCGACUUAUAUUCUGUAGCAAGGUUAACUGUAUAGGGGAGCCGGAGGGAAACCGAGUCUUAACCGGGCGUUAAGUUGCAGGGUAUAGACCCGAAACCCGGUGAUCUAGCCAUGGGCAGGUUGAAGGUUGGGUAACACUAACUGGAGGACCGAACCGACUAAUGUUGAAAAAUUAGCGGAUGACCUGUGGCUGGGGGUGAAAGGCCAAUCAAACCGGGAGAUAGCUGGUUCUCCCCGAAAGCUAUUUAGGUAGCGCCUCGUGAAUUCAUCUCCGGGGGUAGA